UACGGGGGGGGCAAGCGUUGUUCGGAAUUACUGGGCUUAAAGGGUGCGUAGGCGGCUGCCUAAGUCAGGUGUGAAAUCUCCCGGCUCAACCGGGAAACUGCGCUUGAUACUGGGCGGCUCGAGUGAGGUAGGGGUGUGUGGAACUUCCGGUGGAGCGGUGAAAUGUGUAGAUAUCGGAAGGAACGCCAGCAGCGAAAGCGGCACACUGGGCCUUUUCUGACGCUGAGGCACGAAAGCCAGGGGAGCGAACGGG
rnacentral:rRNA from 1 species